GGGCUCUGAUGCUAUUGCACCACAUGUGUUUUUCUUUGAAACAAACUUGCUUUGGCGGUGGGCCCAGCCUGCCGCCAGAGGUCUAAACUUACAACCAAUUUUUUAUCAACUUGUCACACCAGAUUAUUACUAAUAGUCAAAACUUUCAACAACGGAUCUCUUGGUUCUCGCAUCGAUGAAGAACGCAGCGAAAUGCGAUACGUAAUAUGAAUUGCAGAUAUUCGUGAAUCAUCGAAUCUUUGAACGCACAUUGCGCCCUCUGGUAUUCCGGAGGGCAUGCCUGUUUGAGCGUCGUUUCUCCCUCAAACCGCUGGGUUUGGUGUUGAGCAAUACGACUUGGGUUUGCUUGAAAGACGGUAGUGGUAAGGCGGGAUCGCUUUGACAAUGGCUUAGGUCUAACCAAAAACAUUGCUUGCGGCGGCAACGUCUACCACGUAUAUCUUCAAACUUUGACCUCAAAUCAGGUAGGACUACCCGCUGAACUUAAGCAUAUCAAUAAGCGGAGGAA
rnacentral:rRNA from 1 species